rnacentral:rRNA from 1 species
UGGGGAAUAUUGCGCAAUGGGGGGAACCCUGACGCAGCAACGCCGCGUGAGCGAAGAAGGCCUUCGGGUUGUAAAGCUCAAUAGUAUGGGAAGAUAAUGACGGUACCAUACGAAAGCCCCGGCUAACUACGUGCCAGCAGCCGCGGUAAUACGUAGGGGGCGAGCGUUGUCCGGAAUUACUGGGMGUAAAGGGCGCGUAGGCGGUCUAACAAGUCAGAUGUGAAAAACCUGKGCUUAACCGAGGGAGUGCAUCUGAAACUAAGAGACUUGAGUCAAGGAGAGGAGAGCGGAAUUCCUGGUGUAGCGGUGAAAUGCGUAGAUAUCAGGAGGAAUACCAGUGGCGAAGGCGGCUCUCUGGACUUGAACUGACGMUGAGGCGCGAAAGSGKGGGGAGCAAACAGGAUUAGAUACCSUGGUAGUCCACGCCGUAAACGAUGGAUACUAGGYGUGGGUGUGACAACAUCCGUGCCGSAGUUAACGCAAUAAGUU